UUAUGGCUACGAGGACGACGCUGGCGGCGUGCCUAACACAUGCAAGUCGAACGGAGCUUUACGCUGAAAUUGAGAGCAGCUUGCUGCAGGAAUUCUGUAACGCUAGUGGCGGACGGGUGAGUAACGCGUGAGGAACCUGCCUUACAGAGGGGGACAACAGUUGGAAACGACUGCUAAUACCGCAUAACAUAGCGAAAGGACAUCCUUUUGUUAUCAAAGGAGCAAUCCGCUGUAAGAUGGCCUCGCGUCCGAUUAGAUAGUUGCGGGGUAACGGCCCACCAAGUCUACGAUCGGUAGCCGGACUGAGAGGUUGAACGGCCACAUUGGGACUGAGACACGGCCCAGACUCCUACGGGAGGCAGCAGUGGGGGAUAUUGCACAAUGGAGGAAACUCUGAAUGCAGCAACGCCGCGUGAGGGAAGAAGGUUUUCGGAUUGUAAACCUCUGUUUUCGGUGACGAAACAAAUGACGGUAGCCGAAGAGGAAGCCACGGCUAACUACGUGCCAGCCGCAGC
rnacentral:rRNA from 1 species